UGUACUGUGAAACUGCGAAUGGCUCAUUAAAUCAGUUAUCGUUUAUUUGAUAGUACCUUACUACAUGGAUACCUGUGGUAAACCUAGAGCUAAUACAUGCUUAAAACCUCGACUUCGGAAGGGGUGUAUUUAUUAGAUAAAAAACCAAUGCCCUUCGGGGCUCCCUGGUGAUUCAUAAUAACUUGUCGAAUCGCAUGGCCUUGCGCCGGCGAUGGUUCAUUCAAAUUUCUGCCCUAUCAACUUUCGAUGGUAGGAUAGUGGCCUACCAUGGUGGCAACGGGUAACGGGGAAUUAGGGUUCGAUUCCGGAGAGGGAGCCUGAGAAACGGCUACCACGUCCAAGGAUGGCAGCAGGCGCGCAAAUUACCCAAUCCCAAUACGGGGAGGUAGUGACAAUAAAUACUGAUACAGGGCUCUUUUGGGUCUUGUAAUUGGAAUGAGAACAAUUUAAAAACCUUAACGAGGAACAAUUGGAGGGCAAGUCUGGUGCCAGCAGCCGCGGUAAUUCCAGCUCCAAUAGCGUAUAUUAAAGUUGUUGCAGUUAAAAAGCUCGUAGUUGAACCUUGGGUCCGGCUAGCCGGUCCGCCUCACGGCGUGCACUGGUCCGGCUGGACCUUUCCUCCUGGGGAAACCCAUGGCCUUCACUGGCUGUGGGGGGAACCAGGACUUUUACUGUGAAAAAAUUAGAGUGUUCAAAGCAGGCCUUCGCUCGGAUACAUUAGCAUGGAAUAAUGAAAUAGGACGCGCGGUUCUAUUUUGUUGGUUUCUAGGACCGCCGUAAUGAUUAAUAGGGAUAGUCGGGGGCGUCAGUAUUCGGCUGUCAGAGGUGAAAUUCUUAGAUUUGCCGAAGACUAACUACUGCGAAAGCAUUCGCCAAGGAUGUUUUCAUUAAUCAGUGAACGAAAGUUAGGGGAUCGAAGACGAUCAGAUACCGUCGUAGUCUUAACCAUAAACUAUGCCGACUAGGGAUCGGACGGGGUUUAUAAUGAUGACCCGUUC
rnacentral:rRNA from 2 species